CCUACGGGAGGCAGCAGUGAGGAAUAUUGGUCAAUGGGCGGGAGCCUGAACCAGCCAAGCCGCGUGAGGGAAGAAGGUACAGCGUAUCGUAAACCUCUUUUGUCAGGGAACAAAGGCGGGGACUAGUCCCCGGAUGAGGGUACCUGAAGAAAAAGCAUCGGCUAACUCCGUACCAUCAGCCGCGGUAAUACGGAGGAUGCGAGCGGUAUCCGGAUUUAUUGGGUUAAAAGGGAGCGCAGGCGGCCUGUUAAUUCAGCGGUAAAAGCCCGGGGCUAAACCCCGGCGAGCCGUUGAAACUGGCAGGCUGGAGUUGGAGAGAAGUACGCGGAAUGCGCGGUGUAGCGGUGAAAUGCUUAGAUAUCGCGCAGAACCCCGAUUGCGAAGGCAGCGUACCGGCUCCACACUGACGCUGAGGCACGAAAGCGUGGGUAUCGAACAGGAUUAGAUACCCCGGUAGUC
rnacentral:rRNA from 1 species